ensembl:lncRNA
AUUUCAGAAGGCUAAAGACAGGAGCCUGCCUGACAGGGGAGGAAGCCUCAGGGACUGGGACCUGAAGCCGAGGAACUUGUCAAAGGCAGAGACAUUUGCAUGAAACACCAGCCCUCCCCAGCCUGGUUUUCCACACUCUCAUGCCUCAGUUGAGAGGGGACAGAGAAGAUUCUGUCUGGGAACAGAGCCAAGGCUCAGCACACAGACAGAUCUCUGUAGGAUAUACACUGGGGCACGAAUCCUCUCUUCCCCAACCAUCCUGAUAGAUGCCGGAGCCUGAAGGAAAUAUGCAAGGAGGAUGGCACUAGCUGUUGUUUUGAGAAGAGUUUCUCCAUGAGCAUGUGCAGAAGCAGAGAUUCUAAUCAGGACACUGUUCCAGGAAUCCAGUUUCCUGGCCAGGGAUGGAACCUGCACCACAGCAGCCACCAAAGCCACUGCAGUGACAACGCCAGAUCCUUAACCUGCUGCACCUCAAGGUCACAGGAGAAAUCAGAUUCCUUCAGAAAGCAUGAACCAGCCUGGAAGAAUGAAGUGGAACAGUGAUUGUGGGAAUAAACAGGAUGCUGCAAUCCUGAUGGUCACAGAGACACUGGUGAUCUCCCUACCCCACCCCAGCUGCUUCAGGAAGGAAGACGGGAAUGGCAGUGGAUCCUUCCAAUUCUGGGGAUGAUUGGAACUUUCCUAGGGAGGCCCCUGAGAGCAGUGGAAGGACAGGAGCGCUGGCCCACAGAGUGACAUGGAGACCUUCUGAAAUUGGGUGAGCUGCUUCUUUCUGGAAUCACCCUUCAGAAGUCCCCUUAAACAGAGCUCGACACAGCAAUAAGAGAUGAACCAUCAAGGUCUACGCCAUUCCAGGUGGACUAGCUUGUCAUACCUGCAACAAACAGGGAAGAUGAAAGUGGACAAGAGACAAACUCUAUACUCAGAUGGCCGUGGUAUCGAGAAAAGACUGCUAGACUUGAGGUUUGGAACCUGGGUUGGCUGCUGACCAUGACCUUGAGCAUGUCAGCCCACUUCUCUGAGUGACCUUCUGCAUCAAGUGAGGCUGAUAACUCCACCCAGCAACCCGGCUGCCAGGAGGGAGGGCUGCCUCUGAAGAAUUCCUCCUGCUCCUUCCUAGCUUCCAGUGGUGGCAGGCAGUCCUUGGUGUUCUUUGGCCUACAGCCGUGUCACUCCAGUCUCUGCCUCUGCCAUCCAAUGGCAUUCUCUCCUUGCCCCCUUUCUGUAUGUCUCCGUUUCUCUGACUCUCUGUGUUCAGUCUCCCUCUACUUUCUCUUAUAAAGAUUCCAGUCCUCCACAAAUAACAAAUGCUGGAGGGGUUGUGGAGAAAAGGGAACCCUCCUGCACUGUUGGUAGAAAUGUAAGCUGGUACAACCACUAUGGAGAACAGUAUGGAAGUACCUUAGAAAACUAUACACAGAACUGCAUAUGACCCAGCAAUCCCACUCCUGGGCAUAUAUCUGGACAAAACUUUCCUUGAAAAAGACACAUGCACCCGCAUGUUCUUUGCAACACUAUUCACAAUAGCCAAGCCAAGGAAACAACCUAAAUGUCCAUCGACAGAUGAUUGAAUUAGGAAGAUGUGGUAUAUAUACACAAUGGAGUACUACCCAGCCAUAAAAAAGAACAAAAUAAUGCCAUUUGCAGCAACAUGGAUGGAACUAGAGACUCUCAUAUUGAGUGAAGCAAGUCAGAAAGAGAAAGACAAAUACAAUAUUAUGUCACUUAUAUCUGGAAUCUAGUAUAUGGCACAAAUACUUUUCUGUGAAACUUUCCACAGAAAAGAAAAUCAUGGACUUGGAGAAUAGACUUGUGGUUGCCAAGGGGGAGGAGGAGGGAGUGGGGUAGAUGGGGUGCUUGGGGUUAAUUGACGCAGACUAUUGCCUUUGGAAUGGAUUAGCAAUGAGAUCCUGCUGUGUAGCACUGGGAACUAUGUCUGGUCACUUAUGAUGGAGCCUGACAAUGUGAGAAAAAAGAAUGUAUACAUGUAUGUGUCACCAUGCUGUACAGUAGAAAAAUGACAGAACACUGUAAACCAGCUAUAAUGGAAAAAAAUAAAAAUAAUUAUAUAAAA